AGCAACAAAUGCCCUGCUUCCAGGAAAAGCCUCUAAGCAUCAGGUAACAUCAAAUCGUACCCCAAACCGACACAGGUGGUCAGGUAGAGAAUACCAAGGCGCUUGAGAGAACUCGGGUGAAGGAACUAGGCAAAAUGGUGCCGUAACUUCGGGAGAAGGCACGCUGACACGUAGGUGAAGUGAUUUACUCAUGGAGCUGAAGUCAGUCGAAGAUACCAGCUGGCUGCAACUGUUUAUUAAAAACACAGCACUGUGCAAACACGAAAGUGGACGUAUACGGUGUGACGCCUGCCCGGUGCCGGAAGGUUAAUUGAUGGGGUCAGCGCAAGCGAAGCUCCUGAUCGAAGCCCCGGUAAAC
rnacentral:rRNA from 1 species